UCCGCAGUAGCUCAAUGGUAGAGCAGAUCCCUGUUAAGGAUAAGGUUCUAGGUUCGAGUCCUAGCUGCGGAGCAA
rnacentral:tRNA from 1 species